rnacentral:rRNA from 1 species
GAUGAACGCUAGCGGGAGGCUUAACACAUGCAAGUCGAGGGGCAGCAUAGGGUAGCAAUACUCUGAUGGCGACCGGCAAACGGGUGAGUAACGCGUAUGCAACCUACCCUGUACAGGGGGAUAACCCGGAGAAAUUCGGACUAAUAUCCCGUAAUAAUAUCCGGAGGCAUCUUUGGAUAUUUAAAGUUCCGACGGUACGGGAUGGGCAUGCGUAACAUUAGCUGGUUGGUAAGGUAACGGCUUACCAAGGCUAUGAUGUUUAGGGGUCCUGAGAGGGUGGUCCCCCACACUGGUACUGAGACACGGACCAGACUCCUACGGGAGGCAGCAGUGAGGAAUAUUGGUCAAUGGGCGCAAGCCUGAACCAGCCAUCCCGCGUGCAGGAAGACGGCCCUAUGGGUUGUAAACUGCUUUUCCAGGGAGAGAAACUUACGCACGUGUUGCGUGACUGACGGUACCCUGGGAAUAAGCAUCGGCUAACUCCGUGCAAGCAGCCGCGGUAAACACGAGAGUA